rnacentral:lncRNA from 1 species
GCUAUGUGCUGUGAAUGAAAUGAGAGUAAAAGAAAGAGACACACAAUCACAAACACAAGGCUUUUAUAGUGGUUCGGAGCUAACCCUUGCUCCUACGUCCACUCCCCAAGUCUCACUUGGGAAUUCACUAUAACCCCUCGGAUUACAGCCGGUUGUUUUACAAGCUCACAACCAAACUUGUUGUUUUACGAGCUCACAACGAACUCGGUCGGUUUUUCCUGGCUCACCGACUAGAACCACCCCGAUUGUUUUUCCGGGAUCACAAUUGAACCCUUACACGUUGGUUUUACACUCGGCUCACCAACCAACCUCUACAUCCUUGAUUCAAUCCCCCGAUUGAACCAAGCAAAGAUAAUAUGGAAAGAAUAAGAAACAAACAGAAAAACUGAGCUUCUUAAAAAGCAGAUUUGCUACAAUAUAAACUAGAGAGAAGUUAAGAGCCCUCAAACACUUUUGAGUUGGAGUAGAGUAGGGCUUCUUGAACUUUGAGUCUCCUCUGGAAUGUCUGGUCGACUUGAAUGCAGGAGGAGGCUUCUUUAAAAUGCUGGGAAGAGGAAGUUGGAUGGAGUUAAUGGCGCUCUUC